rnacentral:rRNA from 1 species
UACGUAGGGUGCAAGCGUUAAUCGGAAUUACUGGGCGUAAAGCGUGCGCAGGCGGUUUUGUAAGUCUGAUGUGAAAUCCCCGGGCUCAACCAGGGAAUUGCAUUGGAGACUGCAAGGCUAGAAUCUGGCAGAGGGGGGUAGAAUUCCACGUGUAGCAGUGAAAUGCGUAGAGAUGUGGAGGAACACCGAUGGCGAAGGCAGCCCCCUGGGUCAAGAUUGACGCUCAUGCACGAAAGCGUGGGGAGCAAACAGG